GGUUAAGCGACUAAGCGUACACGGUGGAUGCCCUGGCAGUCAGAGGCGAUGAAGGACGUGCUAAUCUGCGAUAAGCGUCGGUGAGGUGAUAUGAACCGUUAUAACCGGCGAUUUCCGAAUGGGGAAACCCAGUGUGUUUCGACACACUAUCAUUAACUGAAUCCAUAGGUUAAUGAGGCGAACCGGGGGAACUGAAACAUCUAAGUACCCCGAGGAAAAGAAAUCAACCGAGAUUCCCCCAGUAGCGGCGAGCGAACGGGGAGGAGCCCAGAGCCUGAAUCAGUGUGUGUGUUAGUGGAAGCGUCUGGAAAGGCGUGCGAUACAGGGUGACAGCCCCGUACACAAAAAUGCACAUAUUGUGAGCUCGAUGAGUAGGGCGGGACACGUGGUAUCCUGUCUGAAUAUGGGGGGACCAUCCUCCAAGGCUAAAUACUCCUGACUGACCGAUAGUGAACCAGUACCGUGAGGGAAAGGCGAAAAGAACCCCGGCGAGGGGAGUGAAAAAGAACCUGAAACCGUGUACGUACAAGCAGUGGGAGCCUCUUAAUGGGGUGACUGCGUACCUUUUGUAUAAUGGGUCAGCGACUUAUAUUCUGUAGCAAGGUUAACCGAAUAGGGGAGCCGAAGGGAAACCGAGUCUUAACUGGGCGUUAAGUUGCAGGGUAUAGACCCGAAACCCGGUGAUCUAGCCAUGGGCAGGUUGAAGGUUGGGUAACACUAACUGGAGGACCGAACCGACUAAUGUUGAAAAAUUAGCGGAUGACUUGUGGCUGGGGGUGAAAGGCCAAUCAAACCGGGAGAUAGCUGGUUCUCCCCGAAAGCUAUUUAGGUAGCGCCUCGUGAAUUCAUCUCCGGGGGUAGAGCACUGUUUCGGCAAGGGGGUCAUCCCGACUUACCAACCCGAUGCAAACUGCGAAUACCGGAGAAUGUUAUCACGGGAGACACACGGCGGGUGCUAACGUCCGUCGUGAAGAGGGAAACAACCCAGACCGCCAGCUAAGGUCCCAAAGUCAUGGUUAAGUGGGAAACGAUGUGGGAAGGCCCAGACAGCCAGGAUGUUGGCUUAGAAGCAGCCAUCAUUUAAAGAAAGCGUAAUAGCUCACUGGUCGAGUCGGCCUGCGCGGAAGAUGUAACGGGGCUAAACCAUGCACCGAAGCUGCGGCAGCGACACUAUGUGUUGUUGGGUAGGGGAGCGUUCUGUAAGCCUGUGAAGGUGGCCUGUGAGGGGUGCUGGAGGUAUCAGAAGUGCGAAUGCUGACAUAAGUAACGAUAAAGCGGGUGAAAAGCCCGCUCGCCGGAAGACCAAGGGUUCCUGUCCAACGUUAAUCGGGGCAGGGUGAGUCGACUCCUAAGGCGAGGCCGAAAGGCGUAGUCGAUGGGAAACAGGUUAAUAUUCCUGUACUUGGUGUUACUGCGAAGGGGGGACGGAGAAGGCUAUGUUGGCCGGGCGACGGUUGUCCCGGUUUAAGCGUGUAGGCUGGUUUUCCAGGCAAAUCCGGAAAACCAAGGCUGAGGCGUGAUGACGAGGCACUACGGUGCUGAAGUGACAAAUGCCCUGCUUCCAGGAAAAGCCUCUAAGCAUCAGGUAACAUCAAAUCGUACCCCAAACCGACACAGGUGGUCAGGUAGAGAAUACCAAGGCGCUUGAGAGAACUCGGGUGAAGGAACUAGGCAAAAUGGUGCCGUAACUUCGGGAGAAGGCACGCUGAUAUGUAGGUGAAGCGACUUGCUCGUGGAGCUGAAAUCAGUCGAAGAUACCAGCUGGCUGCAACUGUUUAUUAAAAACACAGCACUGUGCAAACACGAAAGUGGACGUAUACGGUGUGACGCCUGCCCGGUGCCGGAAGGUUAAUUGAUGGGGUUAGCGGUAACGCGAAGCUCUUGAUCGAAGCCCCGGUAAACGGCGGCCGUAACUAUAACGGUCCUAAGGUAGCGAAAUUCCUUGUCGGGUAAGUUCCGACCUGCACGAAUGGCGUAAUGAUGGCCAGGCUGUCUCCACCCGAGACUCAGUGAAAUUGAACUCGCUGUGAAGAUGCAGUGUACCCGCGGCAAGACGGAAAGACCCCGUGAACCUUUACUAUAGCUUGACACUGAACAUUGAGCCUUGAUGUGUAGGAUAGGUGGGAGGCUUUGAAGUGUGGACGCCAGUCUGCAUGGAGCCGACCUUGAAAUACCACCCUUUAAUGUUUGAUGUUCUAACGUUGGCCCGUAAUCCGGGUUGCGGACAGUGUCUGGUGGGUAGUUUGACUGGGGCGGUCUCCUCCUAAAGAGUAACGGAGGAGCACGAAGGUUGGCUAAUCCUGGUCGGACAUCAGGAGGUUAGUGCAAUGGCAUAAGCCAGCUUGACUGCGAGCGUGACGGCGCGAGCAGGUGCGAAAGCAGGUCAUAGUGAUCCGGUGGUUCUGAAUGGAAGGGCCAUCGCUCAACGGAUAAAAGGUACUCCGGGGAUAACAGGCUGAUACCGCCCAAGAGUUCAUAUCGACGGCGGUGUUUGGCACCUCGAUGUCGGCUCAUCACAUCCUGGGGCUGAAGUAGGUCCCAAGGGUAUGGCUGUUCGCCAUUUAAAGUGGUACGCGAGCUGGGUUUAGAACGUCGUGAGACAGUUCGGUCCCUAUCUGCCGUGGGCGCUGGAGAACUGAGGGGGGCUGCUCCUAGUACGAGAGGACCGGAGUGGACGCAUCACUGGUGUUCGGGUUGUCAUGCCAAUGGCACUGCCCGGUAGCUAAAUGCGGAAGAGAUAAGUGCUGAAAGCAUCUAAGCACGAAACUUGC
rnacentral:rRNA from 1 species